rnacentral:rRNA from 1 species
UGAGGAACAUGACCUUCGGCGGGGGAUAGCCGGCCCAACGGCCGGGUAAUACCGCGUACGACCACAUGGGGACAUCCCUGAGUGGUGAAAGCAGCAAUGCGCCGAUGGAGUGCCUCGCGGCCUAUCAGCUAGUUGGUGAGGUAACGGCUCACCAAGGCGACGACGGGUANCUGGUCUGAGAGGAUGGCCAGCCANAUUGGAACUGAGACACGGUCCAGACCUNUACGGGAG